UCUUGGUCAUUUAGAGGAAGUAAAAGUCGUAACAAGGUUUCCGUAGGUGAACCUGCGGAAGGAUCAUUAAUGAAACUUCAGGAGCUGUUGCUGGCCUUUCGAGGUAUUUCGUGCACGCUCCGCUUUUUCAUCCACACACACCUGUGCACAUUCAUUUUCGGGAGGGAGCGAUCUCUCUCGGGAAUUUUUCACACACACUUAUGAAAAUGUAAAGAACGUUUGUUAUUACAAAAUGUAACAACUUUCAACAACGGAUCUCUUGGCUCUCGCAUCGAUGAAGAACGCAGCGAAAUGCGAUAAGUAAUGUGAAUUGCAGAAUUCAGUGAAUCAUCGAAUCUUUGAACGCACCUUGCGCUCCUUGGUAUUCCGAGGAGCAUGCCUGUUCGAGUGUCGUGAAUUCAUCAACUCACCUCGUUUUGCGACGAAGUGCAGCUUGGACUUGGAGUUCGUCGGCGUCAGUCGACCUCUCUGAAAUGCAUUAGCCCUCUCUUAACUUGGCCGACAAGUGUAGUAAUCAUCUGAUCUCACUUAACGGUCCUGUGGAGGUUGGGCUGACAAAAAUCACACNUUCAUUCUCUUUGACCUCGAAUCAGGUAGGACUACCCGCUGAACUUAAGCAUAUCAAUAA
rnacentral:rRNA from 1 species